rnacentral:lncRNA from 1 species
AAAAUACCAAGAAAGUACCUAACAGCCCAAUGGCCAGAAAAUUUCCACUGGUAUGAUGAGCAUGGUUGCUUAACCCUGUGUUGGUGCUGGCCCAUUUUAUAAGACCAUGAAGAAGCUACACCUCCACACAAGUAUUUAUGCUUCCAUGUAAAGGUGCAAGCAACUGUUUCAUGAUGAUUACAAGUGGUACAAAUACUAUGGAGGUUACCAAAGAGUACAUCAGCAUCAGUGUGUAGAUUCCACAAAUAGGAGAAAAUACUUUAUAGGCAGAACACAGGAUCAAUGCAAUAAGCCAGGACAGCUCAAGAGCAACGUGGAGGGUAAGAGCUUGGGGUGGUGGUAAGGGUAAGCUUGCAUAGCAAGAGUCAAGUAUAGGUUACAAUGAGUAUUAUAGACAAGCUUAAGUAGGCAAAAUUCAGAAGCAAAGCAGAACUCAUAGAAAACAUUAAGAUAACAGAGACUAUAUUGAGACAGUGAAAGAGCAGACAGUGGGGAAGACAAAGUUUCUCUAGAAAGUAGAGACAAAGGGAUCCCAGUUUGUGGUGAGCUGUUGGCUAUAGAGUGAGGGCACUUCCACUGUUGUGUCAGGAGGCACUGACAAGCUUCUUAUUCUCCAGAUGCCAGGAACAAGGCUGGCCCUCUAGUGGACAAUGCAGUGGCCUGAGCCUAAAGUCUAUACCCAAAAUAGCAAGAAUGUGCCCAUAUGAUGGUGUCUCCAGGACUAGGAGGCCAAUAAAACAGAAAGGACCUCAAGAUUUGCUAUUUAAGACAAACAACUCCUGGAAGGCAAGGCCUGGAUCCUAUUUAAAUUGAUGUCUCCAUGGACAGCAUCAAGAAGAUAUUCAGUAAAAUCUGUUGAGUUGAAUUGUCUACAGUAAAGAACAGAAAUUAACAAGGAAUUGCUCCAUUUAGGUUUUCAUCCUUUCCUUUCAAGGCAAGUAUUUUGCUUAAGUAAGAUUUUUGCCCUCAUUAAAGCUUUCAUGCACAAAAUACAUGUGAUCUGAACACUUAGCAUGGUGAAUUCUAUUUUGUUUAAAAUUUUCUUCUAUCCUUAGGCUUCCUUCUCUUCCUUUGUCUUUGUGGUACAUAUCAACUUCCCACUCUGCUG